ACGUAGGUGGCAAGCGUUGUCCGGAUUUACUGGGCGUAAAGGGAGCGUAGGCGGACUUUUAAGUGAGAUGUGAAAUACCUGGGCUCAACUUGGGUGCUGCAUUUCAAACUGGAAGUCUAGAGUGCAGGAGAGGAGAAUGGAAUUCCUAGUGUAGCGGUGAAAUGCGUAGAGAUUAGGAAGAACACCAGUGGCGAAGGCGAUUCUCUGGACUGUAACUGACGCUGAGGCUCGAAAGCGUGGGGAGCAAACAG
rnacentral:rRNA from 1 species